rnacentral:rRNA from 1 species
UACGGAGGGUGCAAGCGUUAUCCGGAUUCACUGGGUUUAAAGGGUGCGUAGGUGGGCAAGUAAGUCAGUGGUGAAAUCUCCGGGCUUAACCCGGAAACUGCCAUUGAUACUAUUUGUCUUGAAUACUGUGGAGGUCAGCGGAAUAUGUCAUGUAGCGGUGAAAUGCUUAGAUAUGACAUAGAACACCGAUUGCGAAGGCAGCUGGCUACAGGUAUAUUGACACUGAGGCACGAAAGCGUGGGGAUCAAACAGG